GCCUGGGUGGCUCAGUCAGUUAAGCGUCUGACUUCGACUCAGGUCAUGAUCUCAUGGUUUGUGGAUUCAAGCCCCACAUCAGGCU
rfam:Felis catus isolate Cinnamon breed Abyssinian chromosome A1, whole genome shotgun sequence.